AAAUCAUGUGAGCUUGAGAAGGAAUCAGAUUCUGCAUAUAUUUCCAAGUUAACAUGAACAAGAUUUUCUGAAAGACUGCUAUGGAGUCUGAGAAAAAAUGUCAAAGGUAGUGCCAAAAUUGUCACUUAAAGAACUGCAGGAAUGGAGUUGGCAUUUACAGAAUUUGGAAGAGAAGCAGGUUUAGUGAUAAAGACCAGAAGCACAGAGCUAAGCAUAUUAAAUAUUGAGGACAUGAAGAGGAAAGAACUGACAGAGGAGGUGAAGAAAGGUGAUCAGGAAGAGCCAUCAAAGUGUUAUCCUGGAAUUCAAGUGAAGACAGUGUUUCAAAGUGGAAAUGAACAGUGUCCUGUAACCCUCAGAGUGAGACUAGAGUCAGAAUGCAAGCUUUUCUCAUUUGAAAUCUGGUAAGUCCAGGUCCUUACCUCCACCUAAAAGUUCUGCCAUCAAGGAACAUCUGCUCAUUAUCUUCUGUCCACACAUCAAAUGACUUCAAUGUGAUCCCUGGAUGUUCUCCAAAGAGCUGAAAGGAAAUAAAUAUUCUUUCUUUAUCACCAAAUACUUCAAAUGCAGAGUGGUUGUGCUACCAAGGCCUGAAACUUCGGAAAAACCUGCAUAACACAAAAUAUUAAGUGCAUCUCUGAGAUAUGCCACAGAGAGGAUCCAGAGAGCUCAUCUCCGGUCAGUUAUCUGUAUUUGCAUGUCAACUACAGCAUCAAAAAGCAUAGGCAUGGAUACUAAGGACCCCCUCUGUACACCAACGCCAGUCCAAAGGAUAGUGUGUCACUGUGAACUGGAAAUUCAUCUCUCUUCUUCAUUUUUUUUCUACCUACUUUAUGCUUUAUCUCUAAGUUGAGGCUGUUUAUGGCCUCAUCCUCAAUUACCUUGUCCCUCAUUACUCCCAGUUAAUGGAGAUUAAGCUUUGUAUCAUGACUUCCUAACUAAAACUG
rnacentral:lncRNA from 1 species